rnacentral:rRNA from 1 species
GAUGAACGCUGGCGGCGUGCUUAACACAUGCAAGUCGAACGGAAAGGCCCCAGCUUGCUGGGGUCCACGAGUGGCGAACGGGUGAGAAUCACGUGGGUGACCUGCCCCGCACUUCGGGAUAAGCCUGGGAGACUGGGUCUAAUACCGGAUACGACCGCACCGAGCGGGUGUGGUGGAAAGUUUUUCGGUGUGGGAUGGCCCCGCGGCCUAUCAGCUAGUUGGUGGGGUAAGGGCCUACCAAGGCGGCGUCGGAUAGCCUGCCUGAGAGGGUGGACGGGGACAAUGGGACUAAGACACGGCCCAGUCUGCAACGUGCUGCAACAGUGGGAAGUGUUACAGAAUGGGCCGACGCCUGAUACAACGACCUCGCGUUCGUGAUGAAGGCCUUCUUGUUAAAAACAACUUUCUCCGUCGACGAGAGGUUUCUGACGGUAAUUGGAGAAGAAGCAACGGCUAACUACGUG